CCUACGGGGGGCAGCAGUAGGGAAUAUUGCUCAAUGGGGGAAACCCUGAAGCAGCAACGCCGCGUGGAGGAUGAAGGGUUUCGGAUUGUAAACCCCUUUUGUUAGAGAAGAUAAUGACGGUAUCUAACGAAUAAGCACCGGCUAACUCCGUGCCAGCAGCCGCGGUAAUACGGAGGGUGCAAGCGUUACUCGGAAUCACUGGGCGUAAAGAGCGGGUAGGCGGGAUAGCAAGUCAGAUGUGAAAUCCUAUGGCUUAACCAUAGAACUGCAUUUGAAACUGUUAUUCUAGAGUAUGGGAGAGGUAGGUGGAAUUCUUGGUGUAGGGGUAAAAUGCGUAGAGAUAAAGAGGAAUACUCAUUGCGAAGGCGACCUGCUAGAACAUAACUGACGCUGAGGCGCGAAAGCGUGGGGAGCAAACAGGAUUAGAUACCCGAGUAGUC
rnacentral:rRNA from 1 species